UACGCUCACAUCAUACUGAAACAGCGGUUUCCAUACGAUCAGCAAAGUUAAGCAACGUCGAGCCUGGUCAGUACCUAGAUGGGUGACCACUUCGGAAUACCAAAUAUUGCAA